rnacentral:tRNA from 1 species
GCAGGUGAGACGUACUUCCACUGUUAAUGGGGCGGUCGCGGGUUCGAGUCCCGUCACCGGCU